rnacentral:lncRNA from 1 species
ACAUGUGUGACGUUUGACACUUCUUCGACGCUUCAAAAUAACCUCAAAAUAUAUCAUGUUUAUUUUGGUUUUUUAACCGUUUUCUGUUUGGUGAUGUUUGUGUAAUAGCAAUAUUUUUGGAAACAUACUAUGCUGUUCUACUGUGUGGCAUAUUAACAGAUGUGACUCUUUCUAUGUGUUUCCCAAUAUAAAAAAUCCUUGGAAUAGUGAAGUUGUGAAAUUACUUUCAAUAUGUAGUUUUUCUUGUUAUUCUUUUUCCUAACUAAUUUUCAGUAAUAGUUUCUAUAAUUCAUACUAUUGUGUAUAUGUGCAGUUUGUAAAUAUGUGUUGAAAGUGUUUUAUGUGUUCAAGUGUUUACAGUUUCGCAAGAAAUGGUUAGCAGGUAAGUUUCCCGCUCACGUGUGGAGCCUGCAGCCUGCAGCAAUUGGUGAGUACCUACUUUUAUGCUUUCCUUAAGGCGGACUAAACAGCAACUUUAACAUGUGUUAAAUGUACUGAAACCAUUCAAUGCAGUUUUUCUGCCAGUGAAACUACUUCUCUUAGAAUUCAAACGUUACUAAAGAAUUGCAUAAAAAUGCAAAAUAUAGCUGUGAAGACAGCCUCUUAAUUGCAUUAUCAAACUUUUGUGCUUAUUUUUAUUUAAAAGUUUGUAUGUAGACUAUAUAUCGCUCAAAAUAAUAAAAAUAAACAACUUGGAAUGCAAAUUGAUUAACUGAAAAUAAGUAGUUAUUCUAUCAUGGCUACUAAGUUUUACAAUUUCAAAUGAUUAUUUUUGUUUAAUUACUGGUGUAAUAUGUAUGAAGUUAAAAAAAUAAAUAAAUUACAAAACAUAACUUAUUAUUAAAUUUUAUUACGCAAGCAGUGUUUUACUGACGUUUUGUGUUUGAAAUUAUGUAUACUACUGUAAACAUGUAUUUUGUAUAUCUACAUGUAUUAAAAAAACUGUUUAAACAAACAGACAGAUUAUUUUAUGUAACUUAAAUUUUAUGGAACGCUGAUCAAAUAAAAUAUAAUAUCAUGGCUUUUUGUUGUACCAAUCAGUUUUCUUAUCUAAGGAAUUUGAAGAUUUAUCUGAAAAUUGAUGUCAUUCAUUUUAUGAAAAACAAAUGUAUUUGUUGGAAUAUUUAGAAGAACCCCUCAACGGAAAAAAAAGCACCAUUUACAACUUCAGAAAGUCACUGGUACGUAUGAAGGCCUCAUAUCAGCUCUACAUGUAGAGUAGGUAGUUUAAUACGAACCAAACUUAAUGGCGGCUCAGAUCAUCAUGUUAGUCUCUACGCAGAAACAAUUUUUAGGUAUCACAAUGGAGGUUCGCGGUGGCCACAAUGCGCGCGCCUUUGCACAGAAAUUAGCUGCAAGCCGCCAUUACGUUUCGUUAGAAACAAAGAAAUGCGUAGUCCAGUUUAGUUAAACGUACUGUCUGUAGGUUCCAUUAACGCGUUUAGUAUUUACAGCGAAAUACGUCAGAACAACCCGUGGCGCUCAACUAAUAUUCCUGAACGGUCUCUUGUAUCGGGGGCAAUGUAAAGCAAAUAGAGAUGGAAGUAGGACUUGGUACUGUGUUAUGUACGGCAGGUUGCAGUGCCCUUCUAUCAUCACAACUGACGGCCUGCACAAUAUCACCCAGAUCCGAGGUAUUCACAACCACCCUGAACCUGUGAUCAUUCAGACACCAACUGGUAUUAUUCAUAAGCAUUCUAAGAAGAAACGAGGUAGGCCCAGGAUAAGUGCGCGGAAUGCUAUAUUGCCUUAAUAUUUGGCUGGCUUCCUAACGUUAAUGUCGGAGCCAGAUCGUCUAUUGUCUCUCUUCAUGAAAUGCGUAAUAAUUUAACGAAAUGGUUGGAUUAACUUAAUCGACCAACUGUUGAAAUUAUUAAGCAUUUCAUGAAGUGAGCAUAUCUUCGAUAUGGGUACGAUAAUACUGCAAAAGUAAUAUAAUUACAUUGUGAUAUACCUAAUGUGAGAGUGUUCCUAAGAUACGACUAAAGUCAAGUGUUCCAAAUUGGUGUACCUACAUAUCUGUAUUACCCAGUUUAUUUCACGAAGUGCGAUCUCUAUACUUUUUAGGUUACGACGUUGUGAACUAUUUUUUAAAUUUAAUAUGCAUUAUUUUUCCUCUGUCUAGUCUUGUGUAUACUACUGUUCUGUCAGUUGUAGGAGGAUUUUAAGUAUUUUAUUGUUUCUUGAUUGUAAGAAGGUCGUCUGAAUACCCGCAAAAGACACAUAAUUAACCCUCAAUCCAUUUUAACUUGUUCGUCUUUUUUGCUCCUAUGAUAUAAUGAUCUUCCAAAUAUCCCUAAUUGAUAACAUUUUUGCAAUUAGCUAUUGUGUAGCUUUACUGUAUUAAGAUUUAGAGCAAACUAUUUGAAGUACUGAUUGUGCCAUUAAACGAUUUUAGAAUAUCUGAGACGUUUCACUUAAUGUGGGUAUGUACUUCUAUAUCCCCUACUAAAUUAUACUCGUUAUUGAACUUUGAAUUGUGUAUAAACUUAUCGAUAUAAACGGCGGAAAAACAUGCAUCACAAAAUAUCGUUGCUUGCCGGAAAAAGGUCUCGUGGUCUUUUGAUUUACGAAAAACUGCUAAAGCAAACAUAUUUGGUGAGUCAGGGUAAAGCGAACGAAAUAUGAACAUCAUUUGAUCUCUAAAGUCGACGAUAUGGUACCGACGCGAAGAUUUUUUUGAAACAACUAAGCAAGCACACACCUUCGAUUUCCGUUUCAUAUUAAAAGUCAUCCUAUUCACCGAAGUAUUUUUUUAUUUUCUAGAAGCGUUAAUCAUACCUUCACGUCACAAAAGAGGGCAAGGUAUGCUGCUUUUUCGUGGCUAUACGUAUUCAUGGAGAAACUAUAAGAAAUUCGGUAACUAUUGGACCUGUUCAAGUCAUCACAAGAAAGGCUGUAAAGCAAAUGUAUCAACAAACGAAGCGAAAAAACCCUUCAGGGUAACAAAAUAUUACGAUAAGCAUAACCAUGCGCCUCCAAGAAUUAGGAUGCCCACUGAAAUAGAAUAUAUUUGAUUAAUAUUUGUUUUUUCAAAAUUGUUCAAACUUAGGAUAAAGGUGUUGGUAAUUUUUUAAACAAAUUCUUUAAUAAAUUGUAUAAGCAUGUUAUAAAAUUGUCUUUCAUUCAACACGUCAAUCCGAAAAGCCAAAAUAAUUACAAGUAUGUAACAAACAACGUUGUAUUUUACAGAAAUACACUUCAUUACAUCGAAAAAGGGCAAUAAAUUGCUGGUUUAUGAAAAAUAUACUUUUGCACAGAAUUGUAAGAGCAAACAUAGGGUCACUUGGGCCUGUUCGUCUCGUUGUUCAAAGAAAUGCAAAGCUCAAGUUACUCUAAGCAAUUCUGAAAGGUACCCAUACUCACCCGCCUCCUGUAUUUUACGUGAACGAACAGGGGAAAUACAGUAGGCUGUCUAAAAAACAAUUGGUUGAAGCAAAUGAUUCGGAAGACAAUACUAGUGACGAUGAGUCAAUGGAGCCGCUGCGGCUAGAAGAAUAGUAGAUUCUAGAACGUCUUGUUUUCCUAACUGUAAUCCUUAUUUCUUUUUUUCAUAAUAAUAAAUUAAAUAGUUGACUGAAAACUACUGUGAUUCACAAGAUUAUGAGAUGACGAUGCUAAUAUUGUUGGCGAUUUUUUAUUUUUACUACUAGCUAGAUGAUAGGUUAUCUAAUAUUUCGAUAGCUGCUAAUAGUUAUUUUGAAGAUCUCAUUUACAAAAAAAAAUAUCUGUUACUGGAGUAUCGGCCUUUAGUAUAUUUUUUACAUUUUACUGAAAUAAGAAUGUUACCACUUUACCAUAGAUACAUUAGUAAUUAGAAGAGUUAUACACAAUUAUUAAGUACUAGAUUACGGUACGCUUUAUAAGGUGGGUGCAAUAUAAUAAUUAUUAAGAAUGGGUAUGUUGGCUGUUGAUUUUUUAUUGAGAUUUAAGAUUAUAGAAAUUAAAGAAAUUACGAUUCAUUGAUUGUGCUUGAAUAUAUUUAGAAGACUGUUUAUGUUAUUUGGACAAGAAUGCCUAUAUUAUUUUUUUAUUUAAAUUGGCGUAAUACAUUAUAGUAAUUUGCACUUUAGUAGCAUUUUUUUUAAUACGAUUAUUCUGACUUUCCAUUUGUUUUUGACUACAGAAACUGAAAUAUAUUAUAUAUUUUGACUACAAUUCGGUGUUUUAUUAUAGUAUUCUUUUGCCCGUUAUAUUUUUCAGUUAAUUAGAAAACUGAUAUAUUCUGUUCAAUUUCGAACUAAAAUAGGUAUGUGUUAACAUCAUAUGGCACUUUUUCACAUAUUUCUUCUUUCAUAUAUUUGUCGUAAUAUUAACGAGAGAUUUUUUUUCAGCGUUUGUCGUGCAAUCUAUUCGCGGUUCACCAAAGCUGGUUUACAGAGGUUACACAUACAACAAGAGUUAUUCCACAGUUAAAGAUACGCACGUUAAAUGGUACUGUUCUUCAAGAAACUCUAAGAAAUGCAAAGUGAACGUUGUCACCGAUAUCUCUAACAUAGUCUUCGAAGUGGUUGGGGAACAUAAUCAUGGGAGAAAUUACUUGAUAGGCAUGGACGCAAGGAAAAGACAUAUGAAAGUGAUCGAUGCACGUUAUUUGCAGAAUAAAUAA